GUGGGGAAUCUUGCGCAAUGGGCGAAAGCCUGACGCAGCCAUGCCGCGUGAAUGAUGAAGGUCUUAGGAUUGUAAAAUUCUUUCACCGGGGACGAUAAUGACGGUACCCGGAGAAGAAGCUCCGGCUAACUUCGUGCCAGCAGCCGCGGUAAUACGAAGGGGGCUAGCGUUGCUCGGAAUUACUGGGCGUAAAGGGCGCGUAGGCGGACAGCUUAGUCAGAGGUGAAAGCCCAGGGCUCAACCUUGGAAUUGCCUUUGAUACUGGCUGUCUUGAGUUUGGGAGAGGUGAGGGGAACUCCGAGUGUAGAGGUGAAAUUCGUAGAUAUUCGGAAGAACACCAGUGGCGAAGGCGACUCACUGGCCCAAUACUGACGCUGAGGCGCGAAAGCGUGGGGAGCAAACAGGAUUAGAAACCCCAGUAGUCC
rnacentral:rRNA from 1 species